rnacentral:rRNA from 1 species
AGAGUUUGAUCAUGGCUCAGAUUGAACGCUGGCGGCAGGCCUAACACAUGCAAGUCGAGCGGUAGCACAGAGAGCUUGCUCUCGGGUGACGAGCGGCGGACGGGUGAGUAAUGUCUGGGAAACUGCCUGAUGGAGGGGGAUAACUACUGGAAACGGUAGCUAAUACCGCAUAACGUCGCGAGACCAAAGUGGGGGACCUUCGGGCCUCAUGCCAUCAGAUGUGCCCAGAUGGGAUUAGCUAGUAGGUGGGGUAACGGCUCACCUAGGCGACGAUCCCUAGCUGGUCUGAGAGGAUGACCAGCCACACUGGAACUGAGACACGGUCCAGACUCCUACGGGAGGCAGCAGUGGGGAAUAUUGCACAAUGGGCGCAAGCCUGAUGCAGCCAUGCCGCGUGUGUGAAGAAGGCCUUCGGGUUGUAAAGCACUUUCAGCGGGGAGGAAGGCGNNNNNNCGAUUGACGUUACCCGCAGAAGAAGCACCGGCUAACUCCGUGCCAGCAGCCGCGGUAAUACGGAGGGUGCAAGCGUUAAUCGGAAUUACUGGGCGUAAAGCGCACGCAGGCGGUCUGUCAAGUCGGAUGUGAAAUCCCCGGGCUCAACCUGGGAACUGCAUUCGAAACUGGCAGGCUAGAGUCUUGUAGAGGGGGGUAGAAUUCCAGGUGUAGCGGUGAAAUGCGUAGAGAUCUGGAGGAAUACCGGUGGCGAAGGCGGCCCCCUGGACAAAGACUGACGCUCAGGUGCGAAAGCGUGGGGAGCAAACAGGAUUAGAUACCCUGGUAGUCCACGCCGUAAACGAUGUCGAUUUGGAGGUUGUGCCCUUGAGGCGUGGCUUCCGGAGCUAACGCGUUAAAUCGACCGCCUGGGGAGUACGGCCGCAAGGUUAAAACUCAAAUGAAUUGACGGGGGCCCGCACAAGCGGUGGAGCAUGUGGUUUAAUUCGAUGCAACGCGAAGAACCUUACCUGGUCUUGACAUCCACAGAACUUUCCAGAGAUGGAUUGGUGCCUUCGGGAACUGUGAGACAGGUGCUGCAUGGCUGUCGUCAGCUCGUGUUGUGAAAUGUUGGGUUAAGUCCCGCAACGAGCGCAACCCUUAUCCUUUGUUGCCAGCGGUUAGGCCGGGAACUCAAAGGAGACUGCCAGUGAUAAACUGGAGGAAGGUGGGGAUGACGUCAAGUCAUCAUGGCCCUUACGACCAGGGCUACACACGUGCUACAAUGGCAUAUACAAAGAGAAGCGACCUCGCGAGAGCAAGCGGACCUCAUAAAGUAUGUCGUAGUCCGGAUUGGAGUCUGCAACUCGACUCCAUGAAGUCGGAAUCGCUAGUAAUCGUAGAUCAGAAUGCUACGGUGAAUACGUUCCCGGGCCUUGUACACACCGCCCGUCACACCAUGGGAGUGGGUUGCAAAAGAAGUAGGUAGCUUAACCUUCGGGAGGGCGCUUACCACUUUGUGAUUCAUGACUGGGGUGAAGUCGUAACAAGGUAACCGUAGGGGAACCUGCGGUUGGAUCACCU